GUCGCUGGGGGACGGGCCGCCCUCAGACCGGAACUCUCCGCCUCGGCGCUCCGUUCUGACAGCCGCUGCGCCCCGUCCGUCCCGCCCCACAGGCGCAGCCCGGGAUGAAGGAACCGGGGAGAUACGCGGCGUACGAAACACCGCACCGAGUGGGAUUCCUGAGCCGCAGAAGCGGCCCUAAGAGCAGUGCGGAUCUGCACCGCCUGAGAGCGGAGCCAAAUCGGGCCCGAGCAGAGCGCAGUGAAGAGGAGCCCUCGAGGCCUUUAAAACCACCUCAGGGAGCUGCUGGGAGUGCAGGGACAGAACCCGUGGGAGGAGGACGAUCCUCCAUCCGCUCUUUCAAAAGACGUUCUACGCCAUUUAUGUACCUCUAAAAACAGGCACCUGAGGUAACGGCGAUUCCCAAAACCAUUCCGUGUCAUUCGCUGCAGAGGGCGGUGUUCAUUUUAGACUUUAAAAGAAUAAAUUGUGCAGAGCGGGAGAAUCCAGGAGCAGAGAAACUAAGCAUGCAAAAAUGAGAGUACACAGCAGAUAUGCACAUGGUAAACUUCAUUUGAACUUGUUUACAAAAUUGACAAAAUCACCUUGUAAACUUAUUCACAUUUUUUGGAGCUCACAGAACUGGUUAUAGAAGCAUGCUGAAAUAAAGAUUGUCGAGCCUCGUCUCACCCCAGAUCACAUCCGAGCGAGCUGACCCUCACAGCAGAAACAAACGGGAGUUAAAGCUCACGCUGCAAAUCACGUGAUGUCCCUGGAGAUCCUGCAGCACCGGGGGAAGGGCCGCGUCCAGCACGUGGAGCUCCCUCAAGCAAAGCGAGCAUCGGCACGGCCGGUUUGCUAUGGAGAGCAGCCAAGGGACUCAGGACAUCACUCGACCUUCCGGGCCAUCGACUGCAGCAGAAAUAUUUCACGCAGUCCUCGGGUUUCAGAAACAGAAGCAAACAAACGCCAGUAAGAUUUCUGAGAUGCCCACAUUGCAGUCCCAGUCAAACCACAAAAGCAGGUUUUAACAAGAAUGACAAAAACAACCCAAAUGUUUCCGGCUGCAUUCCAUGGAAUAAACCAAAGCAACGCAUGAGGAACACUUCUAAAAUCACACUGACGGUGAAGAGCUUUGACUCCGCUCUCAAAGGCAGAACUACUUUUACCACGGCAGUGAGACUCAGCACAGAUGAGUUCACAGAACGAACAGCACUGAACCUCAGCACCUUUUUGGUAUCCCUGGUGUCCCCUCCCCUCUUCCCUGGACAGAAGUCCAGCAGCGGGGACUGUAGAAAACGGCUUGUCCCAAACGUUAAAGCAAAUACAGGUAAUAGAAAUUCUGAGCUUUCUGUACUGAAUUCUGAAUUAGGCUGCUUUAGAAAUAUUUUUAACAAUUAGGAAUAAUAUAUUACAAAAUUACCAAGAUGAACUACAAUUUUUUAGACUCUGAGGUACAUUAACAGUAAUUGUGUCAUCAGUCUCUCACCCCUGGAUGCAACCAGAGUUAAAAACAAUCCAACCUGUGUGACCAAACGCCACCAACACACUUGGAAGACAUCUCUGCGCCCUGACAGCAGCGCCUGGCACUGCUGCUGGGCUGCGCCUCGCCGCACGGCUCCGAUGGGUUCUGUUACUUUGUCUGAAUUGAGCAGAUUUUUAAAAAUAAAUUAGUUCAGUAUAAAUAAUUCACAAA